GCCUCGGUGGAGUAGUGGUAGAGCACGCGUCCCCGGAUAGGAUGAAACGAGGGUGCGAUUCCCGCUUGAAGCC